rnacentral:rRNA from 1 species
GUGCCAGCAGCCGCGGUAAUACAGAGGUGGCAAGCGUUGUUCGGAAUUACUGGGCGUAAAGGGCGCGUAGGCGGCCUUCUAAGUCAGACGUGAAAUCCCCCGGCUUAACCUGGGAACUGCGUCUGAUACUGGGAGGCUCGAGUAUGGGAGAGGGAUGUAGAAUUCCAGGUGUAGCGGUGAAAUGCGUAGAUAUCUGGAGGAAUACCGGUGGCGAAGGCGGCAUCCUGGACCAUAACUGACGCUGAGGCGCGAAAGCUAGGGGAGCAAACGGGAUUAGAUACCCCGGUAGUCC